CUAUACAUGACUCUGCGCAUAUCAAUAAGCGGAGGAAAAGAAACUAACAAGGAUUCCCUUAGUAACGGCGAGUGAAGCGGGAAGAGCUCAAAUUUGAAAUCUUCAAGGUUCUACCUUGACGAAUUGUAGUUUAUAGAAGUGUUUUCUGUUAGUAGGAGUGGCAAAAGUUCUUUGGAAUAGGACAUCAUAGAGGGUGAGAAUCCCGUAUUUGGUCAUUCUUCCUAGCGUUGUGAUACAGCUUUCAACGAGUCGGAUUGUUUGGGAAUGCAGUCCAAAAUAGGGUGGUAAAUUUCAUCUAAAGCUAAAUAUUGGCAAGAGACCGAUAGCGAACAAGUACCGUGAGGGAAAGAUGAAAAGAACUUUGAAAAGAGAGUUAAACAGUACGUGAAGUUGUCAAAAGGGAAGCGUUUGACACCAGUGUUGUUUUUCCGAAAAUCAAUUACGAAUGUUUUGUUUUUAAGAAGUUAUGACUUCAUCGGCUUGCUUCUCUCUUUAUGAAACUUUCUUAAUGCACUUUUCGGUUAACAAGUCAACAUCAAUUUCUUUUGUUGUAAAAGGGUAUGAGGAAGGUGGCUUUCUUUUCGGAGAAAGUGUUUAUAGCCUUGUAGCCUCUGCAAUCGGAGAGAUUGAGGUCUGCAGCGUAGAUCCUUCGGGGUUAGAUACAUUUGUGCUAAGUUAUAGCUUUUCAUAGACAACUUGUUGACUAUGUUUAGUCUUGUAGCUUACUCGCUUAUGCUAUUUUACCUACGCUUAGGAUGUUGAUAGUCACAGCGUGUAC
rnacentral:rRNA from 1 species